GAUGAACGCUGGCGGUAUGCUUAACACAUGCAAGUCGAACGGACUCUUCGGAGUUAGUGGCGGACGGGUGAGUAACGCGUGAGAAUCUGGCUUUGGGUUCGGGACAACCACUGGAAACGGUGGCUAAUACCGGAUGUGCCGAGAGGUAAAAGAGAAAUUGCCUGAAGAUGAGCUCGCGUCUGAUUAGCUAGUUGGUGAGGUAAAGGCUCACCAAGGCAGCGAUCAGUAGCUGGUCUGAGAGGAUGACCAGCCACACUGGGACUGAGACACGGCCCAGACUCCUACGGGAGGCAGCAGUGGGGAAUUUUCCGCAAGGGGCGAAAGCCUGACGGAGAAAUACCGCGUGAGGGAAGAAGGCUCUUGGGGUGUAAACCUCUUUUCUUAGGGAAGAACAAAAUGACGGUACCUAAGGAAUCAGCAUCGGCUAACUCCGUG
rnacentral:rRNA from 1 species